UUAUAAAUAUGAGUUUGAUCCUGGCUCAGAAUGAACACUGGUGAUAUGCUUAACACAUGCUAGUUGUAUGCUUAUUUUUAGCGCAGCGUAGGGGUGAGUAAUAUAUAAGAAUUUACCUAUAUUUUAUUAAUAUUUAAUAUAAAUAAGCUUAUAUAGGAUUAGGUAGUUGGUAAUGUAAAAGAUUACCAAGCCAAUGAUCCUUAGUUGAUUUUAAUGAAUGAUCAACCACAUUGGGAUUGAAAUAAAGCCCAAACUUUAUUAAAAGGCAGCAGUGGGGAAUAUUGGACAAUGAGCGUAAGCUUGAUCCAGCAAUAUCGCGUAAUUGAUGAAGGUUAUUUUUGACUGUAAAAAUUAAUUAAUUAAAAAUAAUUGUGAUAUUAUUUAAUGAAAGUCCCGGCAAAUUCCGUGCCAGCAGCCGCGGUAAUACGGGGGGGGCAAGUGUUAUUCAUAAUUACUAGGCGUAAAGGGCAUGUAGAUGGUUUUAAAUCUUAAAUUGUUAAAAAAUAAGAAAAAAUCUUUAGAACGCAAUUUAUUAUUUGGACUUGAGUUUUUAUAGAGGAUUAUGGAAUUUUUCAAGGAGCGAUGAAAUGUGUCGAUAUGAAAAGGAACACUGAUGGCGAAGGCAAUAAUCUGGGUGAAAACUGACAUUGAGGUGCGAAAGUAUGGGGAGCAAACAGGAUUAGAGACCCUGGUAGUCCAUACUGUAAACGAUGAAUAUUUGUUUUUGGUUUUUAUUGAGUCAGAAGCUUAGCUAACGCGUUAAAUAUUCCGCCUGAGAAGUACGAUCGCAAGAUUGAAAUUCAAAGGAAUUGACGGGAACCCGCACGAGCGGUGGAGCAUGUGGUUUAAUUCGAUACAGCGCGAAAAAACUUACCAAUUCUUGCAUAAAAAUGUAAAUUAUAGAAAUAUAAAUUAACAAUAAAUUUUUACAGGUGCUGCAUGGCUGUCGUCAGCUCGUGUCGUGAGAUGUUUGAUUAAGUUCUUGUAACGAGCGUAACCCUUAUUUUUAGUUAUAAUAUCUAAAAAGACGGUCUAUAAUAAAUGGAAGGAAGGCAAGGAUGACGUCAAGUCUUCAUGGCCUUUAUGGAUUGGGCUACACACGUGCUACAAUGAUUAUAACAAAAUGUUGCAAAAAUGUAAAUUUGAGCGAAUCAUGAAAAAUAAUCUUAGUUCAGAUUAUUCUCUGUAACUCGAGAAUAUGAAGUUGGAAUCGCUAGUAAUCGUAGAUCAGCAUGCUACGGUGAAUAUGUAUCCGGGUUUUGUACACACCGCCCGUCACGCGCUGGAAAUUUGUUUUUUUGAAAACUUUUAUUAAAAGAUUAAAAAAAAAUUAGUAACUGGGGUGAAGUCGUAACAAGGUAGCCGUAGGGGAACCUGUGGCUGGAUUA
rnacentral:ncRNA from 1 species